rnacentral:misc_RNA from 1 species
GUUUCGAAUUUCUUUUGUCUUAUAUUUCCUUCUCCACAAUCAUCAUGUCCUCGCUUCAUCUUCUAAUCAGCUCUAAAGUUUCAGGUUUCUCUUUCUGAUUUGCUAUCUGUCUGUUUGGUUCUUGAGAAAUUCGUGAAAGGGAAGAUUUUGUUCAAUGGGGAACACCUCUUCAGUGCUUACUCAAUAUGAUAUAGAAGAGGUUCAACGACACUCUAAUAACCUAUUCUCCCAGCUAGAGAUACUGUCCUUGUAUGAAAGAUUUUGCCAGCUUGAUCGGAAUGCGAAAGGAUUUAUCUCAGCCGAUGAGUUCUUAUCAGUGCCCGAGUUUGCAAUGAAUCCGCUCUCCCAGAGGCUACUUAAAAUGGGGGAUGGUUUGAACUUUAAGGACUUUGUGGCAUUCUUGUCUGCAUUUAGUGCUAGAGCAAGUUUGGAACAGAAAGUUGGAUUUAUUUUCAAGGUAUAUGAUUCAGAUGGUAAUGGAAAAGUAUCUUUCAAUGACAUAUUAGAAGUGCUUCAAGAUUUGUCUGGUUCUUUCAUGUCCGAUGAGCAAAGAGAGCAAGUUCUGUGCCAAGUUUUGAAGGAGGCAGGUUACUCAAGGGAAUCUUACUUGAUGUUGGAUGACUUCAUUAAGGUUUUUGGCCAUUCUGGCCUAAAAAUGGAGGUUGAAGUUCCAGUUGACUAGAGCUAACCUGGAAGUCCUUCAUACUUAAAUUUGAGAUGAGCGCUUGUAGAAACAACCCUCGAUUGUGCCUAUUGUGAAAUCUUCAAAGUCAAAUUGAAAGCUUAUACGCCUGUAUUUGUCUUUAUAUACAAUAAACUUUCAGGUUAU